rnacentral:lncRNA from 1 species
GGGGGAUGAGACAUGCGCCCUUCGGUUCUGCUGGAGGCUCUAUAGCAGAGAAUAUCCCAUGCAUUACAUUAUUUUCUACCCAAUCUCUCUCUAUUCUGUUCUUUUCCCUCUAAUUUAUGCUCUGCUUUCCCACCCUUGUUGUCAUGACAAUGUCUUUCACUAUUUGCAGUAUUCCUGUCCAGUUUCCAGAUUCCCUUUCCAAAUGCAACCGUUCUUUUUUUCCAUUUUGCUUGGCCACCUUGAAUGUCCUGUUAACAGAAGUAAGAGGACUCUUACUUCUUUUUUUCCUCCUGACCUGUGCUCAUCACAAAUGGCCUACAUUUACAGCCUUCUUCAAAAUCUCUGUGCUCAAGGGUCUGACUUCUUAUUCAGACAUCAGAGUUUUUCUUCUCUGCAUGCAGCUGUUAGAGCAACCUGUAUCUACUUCACACCUGUACAGACCAUGAAGAAGAAGACACAAAAUCUGAAGACCUUGAAGGGACCUGAGACUUAA